UUAAGCGACUAAGCGUACACGGUGGAUGCCCUGGCAGUCAGAGGCGAUGAAGGACGUGCUAAUCUGCGAUAAGCGUCGGUAAGGUGAUAUGAACCGUUAUAACCGGCGAUUUCCGAAUGGGGAAACCCAGUGUGUUUCGACACACUAUUAUUAACUGAAUCCAUAGGUUAAUGAGGCGAACCGGGGGAACUGAAACAUCUAAGUACCCCGAGGAAAAGAAAUCAACCGAGAUUCCCCCAGUAGCGGCGAGCGAACGGGGAGCAGCCCAGAGCCUGAAUCAGUGUGUGUGUUAGUGGAAGCGUCUGGAAAGGCGCGCGAUACAGGGUGACAGCCCCGUACACAAAAAUGCACAUACUGUGAGCUCGAUGAGUAGGGCGGGACACGUGGUAUCCUGUCUGAAUAUGGGGGGACCAUCCUCCAAGGCUAAAUACUCCUGACUGACCGAUAGUGAACCAGUACCGUGAGGGAAAGGCGAAAAGAACCCCGGCGAGGGGAGUGAAAAAGAACCUGAAACCGUGUACGUACAAGCAGUGGGAGCCUCUUUAUGGGGUGACUGCGUACCUUUUGUAUAAUGGGUCAGCGACUUAUAUUCUGUAGCAAGGUUAACCGAAUAGGGGAGCCGAAGGGAAACCGAGUCUUAACUGGGCGUUAAGUUGCAGGGUAUAGACCCGAAACCCGGUGAUCUAGCCAUGGGCAGGUUGAAGGUUGGGUAACACUAACUGGAGGACCGAACCGACUAAUGUUGAAAAAUUAGCGGAUGACUUGUGGCUGGGGGUGAAAGGCCAAUCAAACCGGGAGAUAGCUGGUUCUCCCCGAAAGCUAUUUAGGUAGCGCCUCGUGAAUUCAUCUCCGGGGGUAGAGCACUGUUUCGGCAAGGGGGUCAUCCCGACUUACCAACCCGAUGCAAACUGCGAAUACCGGAGAAUGUUAUCACGGGAGACACACGGCGGGUGCUAACGUCCGUCGUGAAGAGGGAAACAACCCAGACCGCCAGCUAAGGUCCCAAAGUCAUGGUUAAGUGGGAAACGAUGUGGGAAGGCCCAGACAGCCAGGAUGUUGGCUUAGAAGCAGCCAUCAUUUAAAGAAAGCGUAAUAGCUCACUGGUCGAGUCGGCCUGCGCGGAAGAUGUAACGGGGCUAAACCAUGCACCGAAGCUGCGGCAGCGACACUAUGUGUUGUUGGGUAGGGGAGCGUUCUGUAAGCCUGUGAAGGUGUGCUGUGAGGUAUGCUGGAGGUAUCAGAAGUGCGAAUGCUGACAUAAGUAACGAUAAAGCGGGUGAAAAGCCCGCUCGCCGGAAGACCAAGGGUUCCUGUCCAACGUUAAUCGGGGCAGGGUGAGUCGACCCCUAAGGCGAGGCCGAAAGGCGUAGUCGAUGGGAAACAGGUUAAUAUUCCUGUACUUGGUGUUACUGCGAAGGGGGGACGGAGAAGGCUAUGUUGGCCGGGCGACGGUUGUCCCGGUUUAAGCGUGUAGGCUGGUUUUCCAGGCAAAUCCGGAAAAUCAAGGCUGAGGCGUGAUGACGAGGCACUACGGUGCUGAAGCAACAAAUGCCCUGCUUCCAGGAAAAGCCUCUAAGCAUCAGGUAACAUCAAAUCGUACCCCAAACCGACACAGGUGGUCAGGUAGAGAAUACCAAGGCGCUUGAGAGAACUCGGGUGAAGGAACUAGGCAAAAUGGUGCCGUAACUUCGGGAGAAGGCACGCUGAUAUGUAGGUGAAGUCCCUUGCGGAUGGAGCUGAAAUCAGUCGAAGAUACCAGCUGGCUGCAACUGUUUAUUAAAAACACAGCACUGUGCAAACACGAAAGUGGACGUAUACGGUGUGACGCCUGCCCGGUGCCGGAAGGUUAAUUGAUGGGGUUAGCGGUAACGCGAAGCUCUUGAUCGAAGCCCCGGUAAACGGCGGCCGUAACUAUAACGGUCCUAAGGUAGCGAAAUUCCUUGUCGGGUAAGUUCCGACCUGCACGAAUGGCGUAAUGAUGGCCAGGCUGUCUCCACCCGAGACUCAGUGAAAUUGAACUCGCUGUGAAGAUGCAGUGUACCCGCGGCAAGACGGAAAGACCCCGUGAACCUUUACUAUAGCUUGACACUGAACAUUGAGCCUUGAUGUGUAGGAUAGGUGGGAGGCUUUGAAGUGUGGACGCCAGUCUGCAUGGAGCCGACCUUGAAAUACCACCCUUUAAUGUUUGAUGUUCUAACGUUGGCCCCUGAUCGGGGUUGCGGACAGUGUCUGGUGGGUAGUUUGACUGGGGCGGUCUCCUCCUAAAGAGUAACGGAGGAGCACGAAGGUUGGCUAAUCCUGGUCGGACAUCAGGAGGUUAGUGCAAUGGCAUAAGCCAGCUUGACUGCGAGCGUGACGGCGCGAGCAGGUGCGAAAGCAGGUCAUAGUGAUCCGGUGGUUCUGAAUGGAAGGGCCAUCGCUCAACGGAUAAAAGGUACUCCGGGGAUAACAGGCUGAUACCGCCCAAGAGUUCAUAUCGACGGCGGUGUUUGGCACCUCGAUGUCGGCUCAUCACAUCCUGGGGCUGAAGUAGGUCCCAAGGGUAUGGCUGUUCGCCAUUUAAAGUGGUACGCGAGCUGGGUUUAGAACGUCGUGAGACAGUUCGGUCCCUAUCUGCCGUGGGCGCUGGAGAACUGAGGGGGGCUGCUCCUAGUACGAGAGGACCGGAGUGGACGCAUCACUGGUGUUCGGGUUGUCAUGCCAAUGGCACUGCCCGGUAGCUAAAUGCGGAAGAGAUAAGUGCUGAAAGCAUCUAAGCACGAAACUUGCCCCGAGAUGAGUUCUCCCUGACUCCUUGAGAGUCCUGAAGGAACGUUGAAGACGACGACGUUGAUAGGCCGGGUGUGUAAGCGCAGCGAUGCGUUGAGCUAACCGGUACUAAUGAACCGUGAGGCUUAACCUU
rnacentral:rRNA from 1 species